ensembl:lncRNA
UUUACAGGACAUGAAACUGUCUGUUCAAGCUCAGUACUUAAUGUAAUUUCCAAAUGUGACAUUCAAUUUAAUGUGAGGUAAUCAAAAAAAUAUAAAACGUUUAAUUAAAUGUAACCAUGUUUGAACUUUUAGGAAACGUUCUGUUAAAGGACAGAAAAUAGAUGUUUUUUUGUAAAAUGCCUUAAAUGUGCUGACAAUGUUGCAGAACCAAGCAACUGACCUCCAACAUUCCCAGAAAGGUGUUAGGUUGUUUACAAAAUAACCAGAGCACAACCUCUCUCACCAACCUCUAAGAAACAUGGUUCUCAGAACGUUAUGUGCUCGCUGGGUAAUGUAUUCCGAAAUAUGACUUAGAUGGAGUCAAAAAAAUACUAAAGUACUGUUGUGUGUGUGUAGGCACGUCAAGAGAACUCUGUUGAUCUAGUGGCCUGAUGAGUCCUAGUGGCUGGGGCAGCAGAGCAGAGAGCCCAUUAAAAGUGAACAGCCCUUAAACAAACAGACUACUCAUCCAUCCCACAGAAUAUGAGGAGCACCAAACACAUGCUGAAGCAUUCAGUGUACUGCCACACACCCCCACAGGUCAAGCUGGAUAUCAGGGAAGAGUAGAGCACUUACCUCAUCCUCUCCAGACAGAGAUGGUACCCAGCCACUGAGACCUUCUAUAAAUAAACUCUGCUGAGGAGCUGUGUGAGUCAAAUACACCCGCUGGGCAGAAGUGGAAGCACUGUGUAGCUCUUCAACUUUUCACCAAAACUUUGUUGAGUUGAGGUGCUGAGUUCUGCUCCAUCUUUCUGAUGACCAACUACAACAAGAAUAGCAAGGUCGCUGGCCUCGUGGUAUGCUCUGAGGCGGGGGGAUCAGGUCCCAGGGAUUUGGAACAAUCCGAAGGGGACGUGGGUCAAAAAAACGCUGUGGCUUUAGCACAAUUCUUGAAACACACAACCUCCGGGCUGAACGCAACUGUCAGUCCUUCAACAAGGAGAGAGAAGAGAGAACAUGGCUCUGAUGUGAUCUCACAGAUCCGGGACCUGUCCCGAGUCCUCUUUCAGGAACAGUGUGCUGAAAACUCAGACAGGUAAAUUACAAAUAUGACCUCUGAUUGGUCCGUCAGUGCCUUGUGCUAGUCGACUCUGCACCUCUCAUAGAUCAUUCAGUACAGUUAAGGGAAGUAGAGGUCACCCGAAGGUCACACUUCCCUGCUUUCCCAGCUGUAAGCCGACCUCACCUCAGCAGAUUCCAUGGAAAUAUGUUCUAGGCAUGAUUCCCCUAACACUACCAUAGGUGUUGGAUCCAGAACCCUCACCAGUAAUGUGAGUGAGUGAGUGAGUGAGUGAGUGAGUGAGUGAGUGAGUGAGUGAGUGAGUGAGUGAGUGAGUGAGUGAGUGAGUGAGUGAGAGAGAGAGAGCUUUUUGACCUUGACUUGUAAUGAGCAGUGUUGAUGAAACAGCAAAGAGGAUGGAUGCUCCUUUAAGACUUGAUGACCUCCGACGUGUCUAGAGAAAGAUGGUACGUGAGGUAGCGCUGCCCCUGGUUCAUUAUGUUCAGAUCUACAUGGUCUACGGAACUCAGAUACCCUUCCUUAACGCUUUGAUUAUCAGGAACUUCUAUAUUUAAGCAUCACUCAAAGUGGGUCAUUCACAACCUGCUGUAUCCAAUAAAAUAUGAGUAAUAAUUAUUCAGUUUAACUUCCCAUCCAACUAUUUAACUGCUACUGUAUGGCCACCACCUUACAUGAUACCUGGAAGGACUUCCACUACAAUCAGCACUUUUCACGUCAAGCUUGACUAAGUAGAUAUAGUGCUGAUAAAUCCAUCACAACACAGCACAUUUAGUCAACCGUGGAACGACAAUGAGAGGAAUGCACCACUAUAUGAAUAGCACAGAUGAUCAGUUAUCUAUCAACAUGAUUGUAGUCUGUCCGUAGUAACAGGUCAUGCUAGGAACUACAGUAUGUUCAUGGAUUCUAUUACUCUACUAAUCUUGUGCCGUUCAUCAUUAACAUUUAAACUCUAUACUGCUAACCACCAUUAAAAGCGGUUUGCUUGCUUUAAGAUAACAAUCUCCAAGUUAAGGACAGAUGGAUUCAGGCUAUUUACUGAACAUGCAAGAUGGGAGAAUUUAAACCACAACAGUCUCCCAAGGGAGGCAGAGUUAAAAAGCUUUUUAGUCUCCAACAUGAUUAAAUACCCAGUUUUUUUUGUUUUUC